AGAGUUUGAUCCUGGCUCAGGACGAACGCUGGCGGCGUGCCUAACACAUGCAAGUCGAACGGAGAUUUCAGCAAUGAAAUCUUAGUGGCGAACGGGUGAGUAACGCGUAGACAACCUACCUUCUAGAUGGGGACAACACUGCGAAAGUGGUGCUAAUACCGAAUGUUGUAUUUUGGUUGCAUAACUGAGAUACUAAAGAUGGCCUCCAUUUAUAAGCUAUCGCUAGAAGAUGGGUCUGCGUCUGAUUAGCUAGUCGGUGAGGUAAUGGCUCACCAAGGCGACGAUCAGUAGCCGGUCUGAGAGGAUGAACGGCCACACUGGGACUGAGACACGGCCCAGACUCCUACGGGAGGCAGCAGUGGGGAAUCUUCCGCAAUGGACGAAAGUCUGACGGAGCAACGCCGCGUGAGUGAAGAAGGUUUUCGGAUCGUAAAACUCUGUUUUCAGGGACGAAUGUGCAGCUUGUAAAUAAUGAGUUGUAAUGACGGUACCUGAGUAGAAAGCCACGGCUAACUACGUGCCAGCAGCCGCGGUAAUACGUAGGUGGCAAGCGUUGUCCGGAAUUAUUGGGCGUAAAGCGCGCGCAGGUGGGAUAUUAAGUCUGGUGUUAAAGUUCGGGGCUCAACCCCGUGAAGCAUUUGGAAACUGAUAUUCUUGAGUGCAGGAGAGGAAAGUGGAAUUCCUAGUGUAGCGGUGAAAUGCGUAGAUAUUAGGAGGAACACCAGUGGCGAAGGCGACUUUCUGGACUGUGUCUGACACUGAGGCGCGAAAGCUAGGGUAGUGAACAGGAUUAGAUACCCUGGUAAUCCUAGCUGUAAACGAUGGG
rnacentral:rRNA from 1 species